AGAGUAUAGUUUAGUGGUAGAGCAUGUGCUUAGCAUGCACCAGGUCCUGGGUUCAAUCCCCAGUACCUCUG
rnacentral:tRNA from 1 species